rnacentral:rRNA from 1 species
GCGUAUAUUAAAGUUGGUGUGGUUAAAAAGCUCGUAGUUGAACCUUGGGCCUGGCUGGCCGGUCCCCCUCACCGGGUGCACUGAUCCAGCCGGGCCUUUCCCUCUACGGAACCCAUGGCCUUCACUGGUCGUGGCGGGGAAGUAGGACUUUUACUUUGAAAAAAUUAGAGUGCUCCAGGCAGGCCUAUGCUCGAAUACAUUAGCAUGGAAUAAUAGAAUAGGACGUGUGGUUCUAUUUUGUUGGUUUCUAGGACCGCCGUAAUGAUUAAUAGGGACAGUCGGGGGCAUCAGAUUCAAUUGUCAGAGGUGAAAUUCUUGGAUCUAUUGAAGACUAACUACUGCGAAAGCAUUUGCCAAGGAUGUUUUCAUUGAUAAGGAACGAAAGUUAGGGGAUCGAAGACGAUCAGAUACCGUCGUAGUCUUAACUAUAAACUAUGCCGACUAGGGAUCGGACGAUGUUAUUACUUGACUCGUUCGGCACCUUUCGAGAAAUCAAAGUGCUUGGGCUCCAGGGGAGUAUGGUCGCAAGGCUGAAACUUAAAGGAAUUGACGGAAGACUUAAAGGCAUGGCU